rnacentral:rRNA from 1 species
AUGUCGUCGGCAGCGUCCGAAAUCGACCCCUCCGUGGCGCCCCACAUCGUCGUUGAGGAGUCGUCCCGCGCCGGAGGCAGCCGAGAGGAGGCGCUCCCGGAGGCUGCGGCGGUGGAAGCAGUAGUCGAGACAGAGGCAGAGCCGGCGGAUGGGGAGGAAGAAGGGGAGUGCGGGUUGUGCCUGUACAUGGAAGCCGGAGGCUGCAAGGAGGCGUUCGUGUCGUGGAUGGAGUGCGUGCAGGCGCCGGAGAAGGCGGGCUCCGACAUGGUCGACCGCUGCUCCCAAGCUAUCACCGACCUCAAGAAGUGCAUGGACGCCCACGCCGACUACUACGCCCCCGCCGCCAUCGCUGCUGCCACCGCCGAUGCAAGCAAGAACAAGGGAGAGGAAUCCGCUCUCUCCCCGGACACUGAUGAGACCAAGAUGGAAGAAGCACUUGUCGUGUCUGCCGCCACCGCUGCCGAUGAGAAGGACGUGGUGGUUGAGCAGGAGGCUACUUCCUCCACGGCCGCCGAGUGGGUGAAGAAAGAAGAAGCAAUCGUCGAGAAGGCAGAGUCCUUGUCUUUGGGUAACUAA